rnacentral:rRNA from 1 species
UACGUAGGGGGCGAGCGUUGUCCGGAAUUAUUGGGCGUAAAGAGCUCGUAGGCGGUCUGUUACGUCUGCUGUGAAAACCCAGGGCUUAACCCUGGGCUUGCAGUGGAUACGGGCAGACUAGAGGCAGGUAGGGGAGAAUGGAAUUCCCGGUGUAGCGGUGAAAUGCGCAGAUAUCGGGAGGAACACCGGUGGCGAAGGCGGUUCUCUGGGCCUGACCUGACGCUGAGGAGCGAAAGCGUGGGGAGCAAACAGG